rnacentral:lncRNA from 1 species
AAGGCUGGAUGCGGUGUGUUAUGGAAGGAGCUCUUGGAGAAGGCGGGGAAUUGGUCGAGGAUGGGGAAGCGGCUGUCCUCCUGGAUGCUGAGUCUAGAACGUUAUUCAGACAAUACAAGGCGCAUGAUUAUAAACGGUGAACAUCUGGAAAUAUAAACACUACAUGGUGAAUGGUGGUUACUUCCAGAGAUGGGACAGAGCUGGAGAGAGAUGAAGUUGGAAAGAAGUGAGGAAUGGGAGAUCUUAUAAACGAUGCAGAAAUACACAAAGUAAAAGACUACGUGUUUUACUUAUUUCUACUUCUAUUGUUCCAAAAGAGGAUCUUCCUUAUCUUUGUGAUUUCUAAAAACUGUAAUACAAUAUUACUUAUCCUAAAAAAAGCAAAUACAUACAUAUAUAAAGGAAUACCCUCAUGUCUACAUUCUAGUCUCCUGAAAGACAGGAAGUGGAGGAGUCUUAUGUCACAAACACAGAGCGGUGAGCAAGUUACCGCAGCACCCAGCCCCCCCGGGGGCGUCGCACUUUCCAGCUGUAAGAUCUCUCUGCUUCCCAGGUUGUCUCUGAAUAGACGCUGGUCAACUUCAGGUUGGAAAACGCAUGUUACACGUGAAACAAGUCCAGACUCUCUUCAAAAAUGGAAGUUAAUCCUCGGGCAACGCAACGUGAAACCACCCGGGGAAGAAUUAAAUAUUUCAGAAGAGAACAUGGCAAAAAAUGGCAACUGCUAUUUUAGAUUCUUUGAAAAUUUAAGUAGAAGAGCAAAAAAUAGAAAGCAGCUUGUACUUGGUACAAUGGAUCUAAGUUCACUUUUGUGA